rnacentral:tRNA from 1 species
GUUGAUAUAGUUUAGUUAAAACAUUAGAUUGUGAUUCUAAAAACAGAGGUGAAAAUCCUCUUAUCUACC